rnacentral:rRNA from 1 species
UUGGUUCUGGCAUCGAUGAAGAACGCAGCGAAAUGCGAUAAGUAAUGUGAAUUGCAGAAUUCAGUGAAUCAUCGAAUCUUUGAACGCACAUUGCGCCCAUUAGUAUUCUAGUGGGCAUGCCUGUUCGAGCGUCAUUUCAACCCUUAAGCCCUGUUGCUUAGUGUUGGGAGCCUACGGUCAAGCGUAGCUCCCUAA